GGUCGCGUGGCCAAAUGGUACGGCGUCUGACUACGAUCAGUAUAUCAGGAGAUCGCGGGUUCGAUCCCCGUCGUGACCU